rnacentral:rRNA from 1 species
AACGCUAGCUACAGGCUUAACACAUGCAAGUCGAGGGGAAACGAUAUUGGAAGCUUGCUUCCGAUAGGCGUCGACCGGCGCACGGGUGAGUAACGCGUAUCCAACCUGCCCAUCACUUGGGAAUAACCUUGCGAAAGUAAGACUAAUGCCCAAUGAUAUCCCACGAAGGCAUCCGAAUGGGAUUAAAGAUUUAUCGGUGAUGGAUGGGGAUGCGUCUGAUUAGCUUGUUGGCGGGGUAACGGCCCACCAAGGCAACGAUCAGUAGGGGUUCUGAGAGGAAGGUCCCCCGCAUUGGAACUGAGACACGGUCCAAACUCCUACGGGAGGCAGCAGUGGGGAAUAUUGGUCAAUGGGCGAGAGCCUGAACCAGCCAAGUAGCGUGCAGGAUGACGGCCCUAUGGGUUGUAAACUGCUUUUAUAAGGGAAUAAAGUGGGUCACGUGUGACUUUUUGCAUGUACCUUAUGAAUAAGGACCGGCUAAUUCCGUGCCAGCAGCCGCGGUAAUACGGAAGGUCCGGGCGUUAUCCGGAUUUAUUGGGUUUAAAGGGAGCGUAGGCCGGAGAUUAAGCGUGUUGUGAAAUGUAGAGGCUCAACCUCUGCACUGCAGCGCGAACUGGUCUUCUUGAGUACGCACAACGUGGGCGGAAUUCGUGGUGUAGCGGUGAAAUGCUUAGAUAUCACGAAGAACUCCGAUUG